rnacentral:rRNA from 1 species
CUUAAUUGGGCGUUAAGUUGCAGGGUAUAGACCCGAAACCCGGUGAUCUAGCCAUGGGCAGGUUGAAGGUUGGGUAACACUAACUGGAGGACCGAACCGACUAAUGUUGAAAAAUUAGCGGAUGACCUGUGGCUGGGGGUGAAAGGCCAAUCAAACCGGGAGAUAGCUGGUUCUCCCCGAAAGCUAUUUAGGUAGCGCCUCGUGAAUUCAUCUCCGGGGGUAGAGCACUGUUUCGGCUAGGGGGCCAUCCCGGCUUACCAACCCGAUGCAAACUGCGAAUACCGGAGAAUGUUAUCACGGGAGACACACGGCGGGUGCUAACGUCCGUCGUGAAGAGGGAAACAACCCAGACCGCCAGCUAAGGUCCCAAAGUCAUGGUUAAGUGGGAAACGAUGUGGGAAGGCCCAGACAGCCAGGAUGUUGGCUUAGAAGCAGCCAUCAUUUAAAGAAAGCGUAAUAGCUCACUGGUCGAGUCGGCCUGCGCGGAAGAUGUAACGGGGCUAAACCAUGCACCGAAGCUGCGGCAGCGACGCUUAUGCGUUGUUGGGUAGGGGAGCGUUCUGUAAGCCUGCGAAGGUGGCCUGUGAGGGUUGCUGGAGGUAUCAGAAGUGCGAAUGCUGACAUAAGUAACGAUAAAGCGGGUGAAAAGCCCGCUCGCCGGAAGACCAAGGGUUCCUGUCCAACGUUAAUCGGGGCAGGGUGAGUCGACCCCUAAGGCGAGGCCGAAAGGCGUAGUCGAUGGGAAACGGGUUAAUAUUCCCGUACUUGGUGUUACUGCGAAGGGGGGACGGAGAAGGCUAUGUUGGCCGGGCGACGGUUGUCCCGGUUUAAGCGUGUAGGUGUGUGUUCCAGGUAAAUCCGGUUCACUUUAACACUGAGGCGUGACGACGAGGCACUACGGUGCUGAAGCAACAAAUGCCCUGCUUCCAGGAAAAGCCUCUAAGCAUCAGGUAACAUCAAAUCGUACCCCAAACCGACACAGGUGGUCAGGUAGAGAAUACCAAGGCGCUUGAGAGAACUCGGGUGAAGGAACUAGGCAAAAUGGUGCCGUAACUUCGGGAGAAGGCACGCUGACACGUAGGUGAAGUGAUUUACUCAUGGAGCUGAAGUCAGUCGAAGAUACCAGCUGGCUGCAACUGUUUAUUAAAAACACAGCACUGUGCAAACACGAAAGUGGACGUAUACGGUGUGACGCCUGCCCGGUGCCGGAAGGUUAAUUGAUGGGGUCAGCGCAAGCGAAGCUCCUGAUCGAAGCCCCGGUAAACGGCGGCCGUAACUAUAACGGUCCUAAGGUAGCGAAAUUCCUUGUCGGGUAAGUUCCGACCUGCACGAAUGGCGUAAUGAUGGCCAGGCUGUCUCCACCCGAGACUCAGUGAAAUUGAACUCGCUGUGAAGAUGCAGUGUACCCGCGGCAAGACGGAAAGACCCCGUGAACCUUUACUAUAGCUUGACACUGAACAUUGAGCCUUGAUGUGUAG